GAUGAAGAACGUAGCGAAAUGCGAUAAGUAAUGCGAAUUGCAGAAUUCAGUGAGUCAUCGAAUCUUUGAACGCACAUUGCGCCCUGUGGUAUUCCGCAGGGCAUGCCUGUUCGAGCGUCAUUUCAACCCUCAAGCCUCGCUUGGUGUUGGGCCCUGCCCGCCGCGGCCGGCCCUAAAGAUAGUGGCGGCGCCGCCUGGCCCUCAGCGUAGUACAGCUCUCGCUCCAGGGUCCGGCGGCAGCCUGCCAGAACCCCCCAACUCUGUGGUUGACCUCGGAUCAGGUAGGGAUACCCGCUGAACUUAAGCAUAUCAAAAGCGGAGGA
rnacentral:misc_RNA from 1 species